rnacentral:rRNA from 1 species
UACGAAGGGUGCAAGCGUUAAUCGGAAUUACUGGGCGUAAAGCGCGCGUAGGUGGUUCAGUAAGUUGGAUGUGAAAUCCCCGGGCUCAACCUGGGAACUGCAUCCAAAACUGCUGAGCUAGAGUACGGUAGAGGGUGGUGGAAUUUCCUGUGUAGCGGUGAAAUUCGUAGAUAUUCGGAGGAACACCAAUGGCGAAGGCGACCACCUGGACUGAUACUGACACUGAGGUGCGAAAGCGUGGGGAGCAAACAGG